UUGAUACUUCAGCUACUUCGGCUGUAUGACGCAGAUUUCAAAAAGUUGAUGCUGAUGAGGGGUGAUAUCGUGCCUGCGUGUUUCUGUUUUCGCGCACUUUUGUGUGGUUGUCGAUGCUAACGUGAAGGACGAGUGGCGUCGUGCUUGAUCGAUCCAGCUUUUCUAUAAAAUUAACGUGUUUCUGAUGUUGUGCACAUUGAGUUCUUUUCAAAGCUGACGUGCCAGAUAAAUCCAGCUUUUCUAUAAAAUCACUGGUGAGUGACAUUACCAAACAUCGUAAAACAACGGCUCUUGAGGGAUUGCUACUUUUCCUGCUUGAGAAGUCAGCAAAUUUGCUCAAGAUAUGCCUGGAUACGAAUUCUGUGAACUGCUGCACCAAAGGUGUAAAGAUUGGAAUUCUGACUGUGGAGGAAGAUGAUGUUGCCGGUGUUACAUCGCAGCCCACUGUUAUCAACAUGGCCAUAAUCUUGGAGGAGGCCAUUGUGCUUGAGGACAUUAAAGAUCUUCCAUCUGCAUUUGCAUAUUUGUUUGGCCUCUUAUAUGCAUUUAACAUGGAAUAUCUGAAAGAAUUGAAGUACACUUUUGAAGUCAUCAUGGAUCUAGGUGGUACCUGCUCAGCUAGAGUGCAGUCAUUGAAAUCCAAACUUUGCUAAAUGGAUGAAGCCACUUAAAUGACGUUCUUGCGUUGGCUUUUUUAAUACUUUUAUACUUAAUGACUACAAAAAACACCUGUUUUCAUUCAGUGUGCUAAUUACUGCUAAGGUUUUUGUUUAUUUGUUUGUUUGAUUGUUUCAGCCUUUGCCUUAAAGGGAAAAUUCACCCAAAAAUGAAAGUUCAUUAUUUACUCACUCUCAUGUUGUUCCAGACCUGUGAUUUUCUUUCUUUUUCUUGAACACAGAAGAAGAUAUUGUGAAGAAAGCUGACAACUAAAGGGUUGACUGUCAUAAUAUUUUAAUCCUGUGGCAGCCAGUCAGUGACUACCUUCAACUGAUCGGUUAUCAGCAUUCUUCACAAUAUCAUCUUCUGUGAUCAAAAGAAGAAAGAAAGUCAGGUUUAGAAAAACUCCAGUUGUAAAUUAGAGUAAAUGAUGAAAAAACUUUCAUUUUUGGGUGAACGAUCUCUUCAGGCUGGAGUUUCUCCUAGUGUUUUUUUUUUUUUUUUUCCUGGACAAAGUAAUUGUAUUUUAUUUCUGUGUAGACACUCUACUUCCAAAGAUCUGGGUCAAGAUUCGAUUACAGGCAUAUCAGUGUAUGUUCUGACAAGAAAAAAGUACAGUGUACUUAUAGCUGCUGAGUAGGGUUUGUAGUGUACUCGGAUGCUUUAUUUUUUCUUAUAUAUAUAAUGGCAAAUUGUUUUUGAGGAACAUUUAGGUUGAUGUUAAAAUAUGCAGAAUAGAAGUUUUCACAUAAUUGUUACUUUAAAAAUCUACCAAAAAUGUUAAGUACAUUUGCAAAUGUGCCUCAUGUCACAGGACAGCUAACAUUGUAUGGUAUAAUUAACACCGGUUUUGUGGAUUUCUUUAACAUUCAAUGCAUUGAAUUCAGUGUAUAAUGUUAAGAAGUUAAAAGGCAAUAUUUGAUACUGUUAUGUCAUUGCUGUGCAUUGGACACAGAAUGUUUAAAUAAAAAAAAAUUAUUUGA